rnacentral:lncRNA from 1 species
UCCUUUUCUUUUCUUUUUUUUGAGAUGGUGUCUCUCUAUGUUGCCUAGCCUGGUCUCGAACUCCUGGGCUCAAGUGAUCCUCCUGCCUCAGCCUCCCAAAGUGCUAAGAUUACUGGUGUGAGCCACCAUGCCGGUCCAGCAAUCCAUGGUUCCAUAUAGGUGAAUAGGAAGACUUUCUUUCUUAUUAUUUAGAUAUCUUUGAAAGAUAAUCAGUAGUUUAAAGCAAAAUUAGCUCCAUACUAAAUAUUCAUACUAGCUAUUUUAAUUUUUAUAAUUAUACUAUUGAAGUGGAUACUCUUAUGCAGACUUUACAAAUGAACAAACUGAAGUUUAGAGAUUCUAAAUAUUCUAAAUAAAUAGGUCAUAUAGGCAUAUCAUUAUACUGUCUAUUGCUCAAUGCCCUUGACAGUGCACAGUUCCUUGGCUAAAAGUAUGUGGAAGCAGGGAAAAAUGAAUCCAGCAAUUACUAUAUUUAGCUGCUUUUACAAAUGCCUCUUGGUUAAAAAAAAAAAAAAAAAGACAUUCAUUGGUAGACAUUACCACAUUGCCAAGUCACUCAUAAAUCUAAGUACGAAAGUCAGUAAAAAAGGAUGAUGUUAUCUGAUUCACUGAAAGGGAAAUAAGCUGAGAUCUGCUGCGUUAGGACAAAGGCCAGCUGGGCUUUAUGAGAAUUCAGAUGGCAAGGAACAAGCUUUUUAUGGCAAUGACAGAGGGAGAAGGGAACAAUAUUAUAAGGAAGAAUCUUUGUGGUUCAAACAGAUUAUGUGGUUUAUUAUUUUCAUUUAGAUUAGGGAAAAAAUCAGUGGGCACAGAAUAAAUAGCAACUGCCUCUUUCCCCCUCCCCAGCAAGCAGAAUAUUGAUUUCCUCUUUGAGGAAAGGACACAUUAAAAAGAAUACUCUUGAGAUGAUAAAUAUGCUAAUUAAUGUGAUCUAAUCCCUAUACAUUAUGUAUAUGGAAACACCACUAUGUACCCCAUGAAUGUGUACAAUUAUUGUCAAUUUAAAAAUACAAUUUUAAAAACACUCAUUUUAUUUUUUUAAAUUAAUUGUUCUUAUUUUAAAAAUUAUUAUUUUUUAGGGAUGGGAUCUCACUGCAUUGCUCAGGCUGGUCUCAAACUCCUGGGCUCAAGCAAUCUUCCUGCCUUAGCUUCCCAAAGUUCUGGGAUUACAGGCAUGAGCCACCACUCCCAGCCAAAAAAAAAAAUACUCAUUUAAAGCUGCACAAGUUUGAUGGCACAAGUCUGUAUAACUGGACCUGUGCCUUUAUAAAACCUCAAACACUGCAAAGGUUCAUGAAACAAUGUAUAUCUAUUCUUCUUAUUCACUGUCAUCAAUGCUGACCAGGGAAAAUUGCACAGGUGCACGUGUGUGUGUGUGUGUGUAGGGCUAGUGAAGCAGGCAACUACCAGAGAUACAUUAUUAAAAAGCUAACAUUUAUUGGCCAGGCGCGGUGGCUUACGUCUGUAAUCCCAGCACUCUCACGGGUGGUGCCUCCCCGGCAAUGGGGGUCCCAAGAUCCAGGGGGGGAAAAGGGGAUGGCUCUCAGCCACCACAAAAUGGGGGGCCUUUAUGUUCAGGUUUUGCCCAAGAGUCAGCUUAUUUGCUUCUUGUACUAGCAGGGCAGUUGCUGCCAAGGCCUCAAACAGGGGAGCCAUCCUUCAGAAACCCUGUCUAGUUGUUCAGAGACGUAGGCCACCGGCCUCAGCCAGGGCCCCACAGUUUGGGUUAAAAGUCCAGCUGCCAUCUUUUCUCUCUCUAACGCAUACAAUGGAAAAGGCUUUGUCAGAUCGGGUAGCCCCAGGGCUGGGGCUGCCAGAAGUUUUUCCUUUAAGUCAUGAAAGACUUGCUGUUCUUGGAUCCCCAUUCCAAAGGUUCCGGUCCCCGCCCCCUUUGUGACCUCAUACAAAGGCUUGGCUAAUACUGCAAAGUUUGGGAUCCACAGUCUACAAAACCCCACAUCCCCUGAGAAUUCUCUCGCCUGCCUUAGGCACUUAGGCUCCGGGAGAUUGCAAAUAACCUGCUUUCUUUCUGUUCCCGGGCUGCGUUCGGACUCCUGUCAGAUAGUAAAUCCUAAGUGGCGUCGGACCCCUGUCAGAGAGUAAAUCUCAAGUAAGGUACCUGCCAUCGGCAGAUUUGAGCUUUCUUCUUGGACACCUAAUACCCACAGUCCUCCAGGCUCCGGUAGACUGCAAAUGACCUGCUUUCUUUCUGUUCCCGGGCUGCGUUUGGACCCCUGUCGGACAGUAAAUCCCAAGUAAGGAAUGGAACAGAUAAGAAGAUACUGAAAUUGGACGGUGCUGCCGUGCGGCUGCCGCAGGACACCUUUAAUAUCCCUGUUUCUCAGGCUGUAGAUGAAGGGGUUCAGCAUGGAGGUGAUCACCGUGUACAUCACUGAGGCCACUGCAGCCUUUCUCGGGGAAGAUGACACAUCUGAACUGAGGUACCCUCCAAAGCCUGUUCCGUAAAAUCAGCAAACAACUGACAGGAUAACUUCAGGAAGUGGGUAUUAAUUCUCACGGUAUAAGUGAAGACAUUAAGCACCAGAGUUUAAGUAGCUUGAUCCACUGAAAGAGAUUCAACUGUGUGGAACCUAUGCCGUGGAGAAUUGCUUUCUGCCAUUGUUAUCGUCCAGCAGUUGCCGAAUAGCUCUGACCUGAGCAAAGCAGUGAAACGCGGUGCUGUUGAGUGGGUUGCCACUGCACCUUUUUCAACUACUCUAGUCUUGUGGAGAAAAUACCCCUUCUAAAUUUUUUCUUCAUUGAAUACUCUCCCUCAGCUCCAGAGUACCAUAUAGAGUUUUCUUGUAUUUUAGAGUUACUGUUUUAUCAAAGUUUACCAGUCUUUUGUAUUACAUUUCUCCUGUCUAAAUCGACUGUGUGGUUUCUACUCAUUAUGGAUAUAGAUUGAUACAAACUCAAUAAAUAUUUUUGAAUGAAUAACUCCACAGUCCAAGUUAUUUUAAUCACUAUACAAAAUCUCC